rnacentral:tRNA from 1 species
UUUUGGGUAUUUGUCUGUUUUAAAGAAUCUGCCUGCAAUGCAGGAGACCCAGGUUUGAUCCCUGGGUCAGAAA